GACGAACGCUGGCGGCGUGCUUAACACAUGCAAGUCGAACGAUGAAGCCGGAGCUUGCUCUGGUGAAUUAGUGGCGAACGGGUGAGUAACACGUGAGUAACCUGCCCUUGACUCUGGGAUAACUGCGGGAAACUGUAGCUAAUACCGGAUACGACCCUCGGAGGCAUCUACGGGGGGUGGAAAGAAUUUCGGUCAAGGAUGGACUCGCGGCCUAUCAGCUAGUUGGUGAGGUAAAGGCUCACCAAGGCGACGACGGGUAGCGGGCCUGAGAGGGUGACCGGCCACACUGGGACUGGGACACGGCCCAGACUCCUACGGGAGGCAGCAGUGGGGAAUAUUGCACAAUGGGCGCAAGCCUGAUGCAGCAACGCCGCGUGAGGGAUGACGGCCUUCGGGUUGUAAACCUCUUUUAGCAGGGAAGAAGCGAAAGUGACGGUACCUGCAGAAAAAGCACCGGCUAACUACGUGCCAGCAGCCGCAGUAA
rnacentral:rRNA from 1 species